UACAGAGGUGGCAAGCGUUGUUCGGAAUUACUGGGCGUAAAGGGCGCGUAGGCGGUUCGUCAAGUCCUGUGUGAAAUCCCCCGGCUCAACUGGGGAACUGCACAGGGAACUAGCGGGCUUGAGUUCGGGAGAGGGAAGCGGAAUUCCGGGUGGUAGCGGUGAAAUGCGUAGAUAUCCGGAGGAACACCGGUGGCGAAGGCGGCUUCCUGGACCGACACUGACGCUGAGGCGCGAAAGCUAGGGGAGCAAACGGG
rnacentral:rRNA from 1 species